GUACCUGAAACAACAGGUGCCGGGUUUGGCGACCCGAACGGUUAAUGCGCACAGCCGCGCUCAGCGGCUUUUUU
rfam:Medicago truncatula strain A17 unplaced genomic scaffold scaffold0828, whole genome shotgun sequence.